GCCUACGGGAGGCAGCAGUGAGGAAUAUUGGUCAAUGGUCGGGAGACUGAACCAGCCAAGCCGCGUGAGGGAUGAAGGUACAGAGUAUCGUAAACCUCUUUUGUCAGGGAACAAAGGCGGGGGCGUGUCCCCGGAUGAGUGUACCUGAAGAAAAAGCAUCGGCUAACUCCGUGCCAGCAGCCGCGGUAAUACGGAGGGUGCGAGCGUUAAUCGGAAUUACUGGGCGUAAAGCGCUCGUAGGCGGUAUGUCAAGUCAAGGGUGAAAUCCCCGCGCUCAACGUGGGAACUGCCUUUGAAACUGGCAA
rnacentral:rRNA from 1 species